rnacentral:misc_RNA from 1 species
GAUGAAGAACGUAGCGAAAUGCGAUACUUGGUGUGAAUUGCAGAAUCCCGUGAACCAUCGAGUUUUUGAACGCAAGUUGCGCCCGAAGCCAUUAGGCCGAGGGCACGCCUGCCUGGGCGUCACACGUCGUUGCCCCCCCCAUCUACUCCUUCGGGAUUGCGGGGGGCGGAUGAUGGCCUCCCGUGCGCCUCGCCGCGCGGUUGGCAUAAAUGCCAAGUCCUCGGCGACGCACGCCACGACAAUCGGUGGUUGCGAAACCUCGGUUGCCCGUCGUGUGCGGUCGUCGCGCAUCGAGGGCUCGAAAAAAUUGCCGGGUUCCGGCUCGGCUUUCAACGCGACCCCAGGUCAGGCGGGGUUACCCGCUGAAUUUAAGCAUAUCAAUAAGCGGAGGA